CUGCUCAAUGAGUAGUUAAAUUGCCGCGGUAUUUUGACCGUGCGAAGGUAGCAUAAUAAUUAGUUUUUUUAUUGAAAGCUGGAAUGAAUGAUUGGACGAGAAAAUUGCUGUCUCUGUGGAAAUUUUUUUUGAAUUUAACUUUUAAGUAAAAAGGCUUAAAUGUUUCUUAAAGACGAGAAGACCCUAUAGAGUUUAAUAUUUUAACUUGUAGAGAGUUUUUGGUAUUUAUUGUUUCUAUUUUGUUUAAUAUUUGGUUGGGGUGACUAGAAGAUUUAUUAAACUCUUCUAAUGAAUUGUUACUAAUAAGUAAUUAUUAAAUCUGAGUUUUUCAAAUUUAAUAUAAAUUACCUUAGGGAUAACAGCGUAAUUUCUCUUUAGAGUUCAAAUUGGAAGAGGAGUUUGCGACCUCGAUGUUGGAUUAAAGUUAAUGUUGGGUGCAGUAGCUCAAUUAUUAAGUCUGUUCGACUUUUAAAACUUUACGUGAUCUGAGUUCA
rnacentral:rRNA from 1 species